UACGAAGGGUGCAAGCGUUACUCGGAAUUACUGGGCGUAAAGCGUGCGUAGGUGGUGAGUUAAGUCUGAUGUGAAAUCCCCGGGCUCAACCUGGGAAUGGCAUUGGAUACUGGCUCGCUAGAGUGCGGUAGAGGGUGGUGGAAUUCCCGGUGUAGCAGUGAAAUGCGUAGAGAUCGGGAGGAACAUCUGUGGCGAAGGCGGCCACCUGGACCAGCACUGACACUGAGGCACGAAAGCGCGGGGAGCGAACAGG
rnacentral:rRNA from 1 species